AUUUGAAGUAAGAUUUAAGCUAUUAGCUAAACCUAUUGGGACUUUGUUUUUGGUCUUAUGAUACGCAGAAUCUCCAACAUGCAUAUCUUCCUUGAUUAAAUUGGAGCUUUAAAACAUACACAAGUAAUCAAACCACUAUCAUACCCUUCUCGUUUCUGUAUAGGUGUCCACAUGUCGCUGUCAUCUUAUCCAGUAAUUCGCUACUGGUUUAGAACAAGCACUACUGCCUGGCAAUCCUUCAUCGUCGACGAAAUCGGGCGAUUGUGGCGACGUUUGGUCCGACCAACUUGUCCAAUAAGCUAAAACGGCGAAACUUUACUAUGACGUCAUUUUUUUUACUAUGACGUCACAUUUUUUUUUACUGUGACGGUAAAUUUUUGUACUAUCACGGUACAUCUAUAUUUACUGUGACGUUACACUUUUGAAUUAUGACGUCAAACUUAGACUGUGAUGCUAC